UACGUAGGGUCCAAGCGUUGUCCGGAUUUAUUGGGCGUAAAGAGCUCGUAGGCGGCUCAGUUAGUCGGAUGUGAAAACCCGCGGCUCAACCGUGUGGUCUGCAGUCGAUACGGGCAGGCUAGAGUUCGGUAGGGGAGUCUGGAAUUCCUGGUGUAGCGGUGAAAUGCGCAGAUAUCAGGAGGAACACCGGUGGCGAAGGCGGGACUCUGGGCCGAUACUGACGCUGAGGAGCGAAAGCGUGGGGAGCGAACAGG
rnacentral:rRNA from 1 species